AUGGUUUUUUUUCUCCCCGAACAUGAAUAUAUAGAGUUGGAGUUGAGGUCGGUGGAGCACCAGGGGGCCCACGAGGCAAGGGGAGUGCCCCCCGCCCUCGUGGACAGGGUGUGGCCCCCUGGCCUUGAUUCUUUUGCCAGUAUUUUUUAUAUAUUCCAAAAAUAUUCUCCGUUGAUUUUCAUGUCAUUCCGAGAACUUUUAUUUCUGCACAAAAAUAAUACCAUGGCAAUUCUGCUGAAAACAACGUCAGUCCGGGUUAGUUCCAUUCAAAUCAUGCAAGUUAGAGUCCAAAACAAGGGCAACAGUGUUUGGAAAAGUAGAUACGAUGGAGACGUAUCAGGUAGCGAAAUCUGUUAA
rnacentral:rRNA from 1 species